CGUGCUGCUCCUGCUGCUGAGAGAGAGGGUCCACACAGCUGCCGGAGAGACAGAGAGAGAGGGGCUCAGGUCACAGGAUCACGGUGCGGGACCUGCUUGUCUCUGACAGGAGAAGAGGUGACGCUAUGCGACAAGUGACAAGACAGCAUCAAAAACACCAGGAGCUCAGCGUCCCCUCUGCCAGGGGCACAUCAUCCUAAUUCACUUACAAGUUCAUCUUCACAAACAGGGGAGAAACACAGAGAACAGGCAGUGGCCUCUCCUGCCUGCCCGGGCAAAGGCAAGCACUACUCCUGGAGAACUCCUAAAAGAACACAGAGCAGGCACACAAACAUUCUAUAAACAGUAAACAAAACAGCAACAGCAGCAAUGGACUCAAUUUGGAACGUUGAGGAGUUUAUAUAAUUUCCAGACUGAAAUUGAUUCUAAACGUCACUAUUUUACAUCCUAGUAGUGCAUAGAUCAAACACUCACCUACCAAAACAAAGAAUUAAACUUUGCUCCCCAAUCUUAUGGGUCGAUGGGUGAACGAAUUUGAUCAUAUUUACAGUGUGGGAGCCUGGGUGAGAAGAUAACUCCAGAAGGUCUUGCUGACCAUGGACUACAGGAAGUGAGCUCCAAGGAGAUCAGGCCACAAAAACAACACACACACACUGACACACAGACAAGUGAAAAGAAUCAGUAUACAAGCUCGUGUGCGGAGGGAAAAGGAGAAAAUAACUGUAAUCAAGUGAAAGAAAAAGAGAAGGGGGCGGGGAGCAAGUUAAAGGAACACAAUCCCUGGGCUACAGGAGAUGGGACUAUAGCAACAAAGUUUCUGUUCACUAAAGAGAGUCCUCAUCAUAAUUGGAAGGCUGAAUACCAACAACCCCAAAACAAAAACCACACAAAGGACACCAAGGGUCACCAGAGCAGAUCCCAG